AGUGAACGCUGGCGGCAGGCCUAACACAUGCAAGUCGAGCGGCAGCGCGUCCGACCACCCUCGGGUGGUCGGAUGGCGGCGAGCGGCGGACGGGUGAGGAAUGCAUCGGAAUCUGCCUCGUUGUGGGGGAUAACGUAGGGAAACUUACGCUAAUACCGCAUACGACCUACGGGUGAAAGUGGGGGACCUUCGGGCCUCACGCGAUGAGAUGAGCCGAUGCCGGAUUAGCUAGUUGGCGGGGUAAAGGCCCACCAAGGCGACGAUCCGUAGCUGGUCUGAGAGGAUGAUCAGCCACACUGGAACUGAGACACGGUCCAGACUCCUACGGGAGGCAGCAGUGGGGAAUAUUGGACAAUGGGGGCAACCCUGAUCCAGCCAUGCCGCGUGUGUGAAGAAGGCCUUCGGGUUGUAAAGCACUUUUGUUGGGGAAGAAACCGGCCGGGUU
rnacentral:rRNA from 1 species